rnacentral:rRNA from 1 species
UACGUAGGGGGCAAGCGUUGUCCGGAAUCAUUGGGCGUAAAGAGCGUGUAGGCGGUUCGGUAAGUCGGCUGUGAAAGUCCAGGGCUCAACCCUGGGAUGCCGGUCGAUACUGCCGGACUAGAGUUCGGAAGAGGCGAGUGGAAUUCCCGGUGUAGCGGUGAAAUGCGCAGAUAUCGGGAAGAACACCUAUGGCGAAGGCAGCUCUCUGGGACGGUACUGACGCUGAGACGCGAAAGCCAGGGGAGCAAACGGG